AGAACAGCUAGCAAAAAAUAAAAUAAAAUAAAUGGAAAUAGGGAAAAAAAAAAAAAAAAAAAAGUUAAGAAUGCAUCCCCUUCGUGGGACACACAAAAAAAGGCAAUUCAAAUAAAAAAACCUUUGAACCUUAAUAUAUAUGUAUGUCAUGUUCACAUGCAUGCUUCUUGUUUCUCACUGCCCAUAUCUAUCUAUCGCAAUCUGCCGUCUGAAACACCGUCCCCUCAUACACACGCAACGCUAGUGAAGGAAGGGCAGGAACCCGUCUUGAUCCCUGACAAAGGCUAAAAUACAAAGAAGAACAGAAGGAAAUGAAAUGAAAGAAAAAAGAAAAAGAUAAUAAGCG
rnacentral:sRNA from 1 species